GGGUUGUGAGGUUAAGCGACUAAGCGUACACGGUGGAUGCCCUGGCAGUCAGAGGCGAUGAAGGACGUGCUAAUCUGCGAUAAGCGUCGGUGAGGUGAUAUGAACCGUUAUAACCGGCGAUUUCCGAAUGGGGAAACCCAGUGUGUUUCGACACACUAUCAUUAACUGAAUCCAUAGGUUAAUGAGGCGAACCGGGGGAACUGAAACAUCUAAGUACCCCGAGGAAAAGAAAUCAACCGAGAUUCCCCCAGUAGCGGCGAGCGAACGGGGAGGAGCCCAGAGCCUGAAUCAGUGUGUGUGUUAGUGGAAGCGUCUGGAAAGGCGCGCGAUACAGGGUGACAGCCCCGUACACAAAAAUGCACAUAUUGUGAGCUCGAUGAGUAGGGCGGGACACGUGGUAUCCUGUCUGAAUAUGGGGGGACCAUCCUCCAAGGCUAAAUACUCCUGACUGACCGAUAGUGAACCAGUACCGUGAGGGAAAGGCGAAAAGAACCCCGGCGAGGGGAGUGAAAAAGAACCUGAAACCGUGUACGUACAAGCAGUGGGAGCCUCUUAAUGGGGUGACUGCGUACCUUUUGUAUAAUGGGUCAGCGACUUAUAUUCUGUAGCAAGGUUAACCGAAUAGGGGAGCCGAAGGGAAACCGAGUCUUAACUGGGCGUUAAGUUGCAGGGUAUAGACCCGAAACCCGGUGAUCUAGCCAUGGGCAGGUUGAAGGUUGGGUAACACUAACUGGAGGACCGAACCGACUAAUGUUGAAAAAUUAGCGGAUGACUUGUGGCUGGGGGUGAAAGGCCAAUCAAACCGGGAGAUAGCUGGUUCUCCCCGAAAGCUAUUUAGGUAGCGCCUCGUGAAUUCAUCUCCGGGGGUAGAGCACUGUUUCGGCAAGGGGGUCAUCCCGACUUACCAACCCGAUGCAAACUGCGAAUACCGGAGAAUGUUAUCACGGGAGACACACGGCGGGUGCUAACGUCCGUCGUGAAGAGGGAAACAACCCAGACCGCCAGCUAAGGUCCCAAAGUCAUGGUUAAGUGGGAAACGAUGUGGGAAGGCCCAGACAGCCAGGAUGUUGGCUUAGAAGCAGCCAUCAUUUAAAGAAAGCGUAAUAGCUCACUGGUCGAGUCGGCCUGCGCGGAAGAUGUAACGGGGCUAAACCAUGCACCGAAGCUGCGGCAGCGACACUAUGUGUUGUUGGGUAGGGGAGCGUUCUGUAAGCCUGUGAAGGUGGCCUGUGAGGGUUGCUGGAGGUAUCAGAAGUGCGAAUGCUGACAUAAGUAACGAUAAAGCGGGUGAAAAGCCCGCUCGCCGGAAGACCAAGGGUUCCUGUCCAACGUUAAUCGGGGCAGGGUGAGUCGACCCCUAAGGCGAGGCCGAAAGGCGUAGUCGAUGGGAAACAGGUUAAUAUUCCUGUACUUGGUGUUACUGCGAAGGGGGGACGGAGAAGGCUAUGUUGGCCGGGCGACGGUUGUCCCGGUUUAAGCGUGUAGGCUGGUUUUCCAGGCAAAUCCGGAAAAUCAAGGCUGAGGCGUGAUGACGAGGCACUACGGUGCUGAAGCGACAAAUGCCCUGCUUCCAGGAAAAGCCUCUAAGCAUCAGGUAACAUCAAAUCGUACCCCAAACCGACACAGGUGGUCAGGUAGAGAAUACCAAGGCGCUUGAGAGAACUCGGGUGAAGGAACUAGGCAAAAUGGUGCCGUAACUUCGGGAGAAGGCACGCUGAUAUGUAGGUGAAGCGACUUGCUCGUGGAGCUGAAAUCAGUCGAAGAUACCAGCUGGCUGCAACUGUUUAUUAAAAACACAGCACUGUGCAAACACGAAAGUGGACGUAUACGGUGUGACGCCUGCCCGGUGCCGGAAGGUUAAUUGAUGGGGUUAGCGGUAACGCGAAGCUCUUGAUCGAAGCCCCGGUAAACGGCGGCCGUAACUAUAACGGUCCUAAGGUAGCGAAAUUCCUUGUCGGGUAAGUUCCGACCUGCACGAAUGGCGUAAUGAUGGCCAGGCUGUCUCCACCCGAGACUCAGUGAAAUUGAACUCGCUGUGAAGAUGCAGUGUACCCGCGGCAAGACGGAAAGACCCCGUGAACCUUUACUAUAGCUUGACACUGAACAUUGAGCCUUGAUGUGUAGGAUAGGUGGGAGGCUUUGAAGUGUGGACGCCAGUCUGCAUGGAGCCGACCUUGAAAUACCACCCUUUAAUGUUUGAUGUUCUAACGUGGGCCCCUUACCGGGGUUGCGGACAGUGUCUGGUGGGUAGUUUGACUGGGGCGGUCUCCUCCUAAAGAGUAACGGAGGAGCACGAAGGUUGGCUAAUCCUGGUCGGACAUCAGGAGGUUAGUGCAAUGGCAUAAGCCAGCUUGACUGCGAGCGUGACGGCGCGAGCAGGUGCGAAAGCAGGUCAUAGUGAUCCGGUGGUUCUGAAUGGAAGGGCCAUCGCUCAACGGAUAAAAGGUACUCCGGGGAUAACAGGCUGAUACCGCCCAAGAGUUCAUAUCGACGGCGGUGUUUGGCACCUCGAUGUCGGCUCAUCACAUCCUGGGGCUGAAGUAGGUCCCAAGGGUAUGGCUGUUCGCCAUUUAAAGUGGUACGCGAGCUGGGUUUAGAACGUCGUGAGACAGUUCGGUCCCUAUCUGCCGUGGGCGCUGGAGAACUGAGGGGGGCUGCUCCUAGUACGAGAGGACCGGAGUGGACGCAUCACUGGUGUUCGGGUUGUCAUGCCAAUGGCACUGCCCGGUAGCUAAAUGCGGAAGAGAUAAGUGCUGAAAGCAUCUAAGCACGAAACUUGCCCCGAGAUGAGUUCUCCCUGACUCCUUGAGAGUCCUGAAGGAACGUUGAA
rnacentral:rRNA from 1 species